UACAGGGGUGGCAAGCGUUGUUCGGAAUUACUGGGCGUAAAGGGCGCGUAGGCGGCCUUCUAAGUCAGACGUGAAAUCCCCAGGCUUAACUUGGGAACUGCGUCUGAUACUGGGAGGCUUGAGUGCGGGAGAGGGAUGUGGAAUUCCAGGUGUAGCGGUGAAAUGCGUAGAUAUCUGGAGGAACACCGGUGGCGAAGGCGGCAUCCUGGACCGACACUGACGCUGAGGCGCGAAAGCUAGGGGAGCAAACGGG
rnacentral:rRNA from 1 species